AGGAUUCCCCUAGUAGCGGCGAGCGAAGCGGGAAGAGCUCAAAUUUAUAAUCUGGCACCUUCGGUGUCCGAGUUGUAAUCUCUAGAAAUGUUUUCCGCGUUGGACCGCACACAAGUCUGUUGGAAUACAGCGGCAUAGUGGUGAGACCCCCGUAUAUGGUGCGGACGCCCAGCGCUUUGUGAUACAUUUUCGAAGAGUCGAGUUGUUUGGGAAUGCAGCUCAAAUUGGGUGGUAAAUUCCAUCUAAAGCUAAAUAUUGGCGAGAGACCGAUAGCGAACAAGUACCGUGAGGGAAAGAUGAAAAGCACUUUGGAAAGAGAGUUAACAGUACGUGAAAUUGUUGGAAGGGAAACGCUUGAAGUCAGACUUGCUUGCCGAGCAAUCGGUUUGCAUGCCAGCAUCAGUUUUCCGGGAUGGAUAAUGGUAGANAGAAGGUAGCAGUUUCGGCUGUGUUAUAGCUCUCUGCUGGAUACAUCUUGGGGGACUGAGGAACGCAGUGUGCCUUU
rnacentral:rRNA from 1 species